AUGGCCUCGGUUAUCUUUGCAUAUUCAAGGUUGUCUCUCCAUAUAUCAACCAUUGCUCAUUACAUGAAAAGGAAGGAAAUAGAGAGAAGAAAGCAUACACGUCCAUUUGAUAACAUUUCCAAAUAUCAAGAAAAAUUAGAAAUUACACAAAGAGGGCAUAGUUGGCAUACAAGUUUCAGGGUAUACAAAUCGGAAAAGAGGGGAUAA